rnacentral:rRNA from 1 species
UACGAAGGGGGCUAGCGUUGCUCGGAAUCACUGGGCGUAAAGCGCACGUAGGCGGAUUGUUAAGUCAGGGGUGAAAUCCUGGAGCUCAACUCCAGAACUGCCUUUGAUACUGGCGAUCUUGAGUCCAGGAGAGGUGAGUGGAACUGCGAGUGUAGAGGUGAAAUUCGUAGAUAUUCGCAAGAACACCAGUGGCGAAGGCGGCUCACUGGCCCGGUACUGACGCUGAGGUGCGAAAGCGUGGGGAGCAAACAGG